rnacentral:lncRNA from 1 species
AUGAAUGUGUCUUUUGUCCAGCUCGGCCGCCUCGGAUCUCACUGCCACCGGCCUUCACGCACACCCUCGCCACCAGCCUUUGCCCCGUCAGCCUCAGCCCCAGCUCAUUCUCUCAGGCAGUCCCAGCAUUGGCAUGGUACCUCCUCCCGCCGUGGGCCUCACGUCUCUGCUCCCUGUCAACCCUACUGCCAUCAGCAUCACCACAAGCGACUUGUCUGCCCAGGAGGAUGCAACACCAUCUACCUCUACCGGCCACCUUUCAGUGUUUUCUGCUUUCCAAGUAAAGACACCAGCAGUGCCCUCAGAGCGGACCAGCCAGAGAUUUUCCGAAGCCUCCCAUAUAGGCUCCUCCGUGGAGGAGGCCUGAGAUGCUGUCAUGACUUUGGAGCCAGGGUGGCCGACCACCUUGGCCUGGCCAUCUUUGGGGUGGGCUUUGGGAGCCCAGCACUGCUGCCGAGUGUGGUGGAUGAGAACGGCUGCUGCUUGCUGUACGUGGUGGAGCUGUGUGGCGUGGAGCGAGCCUUCAGAGCUGAGCAUUUGACCAACACCAGAGUGGUUCGGGAACAGGAUGCGGACAUUGUCCUCAACGACCAGCGCGUCUCUGGAGUAGUUGUCUGCUCCCCGCCGGAGGCAGCUUCUGAAAUCGUGAUGCAUGCUCUCCGAGCAGGGAAGGGGGUGCUUUGCGAGAGGCUGCCGAGUUUGAAUUGUCAGGCUGCCCAGUCCUGCUUCGACGAAGCCGACGGACGUGGAAAGCCUUUGGUCUGUGGAUUUUACAACUCCUCUCCCAGGCGCUUUGAUCCGGCUUUCCAGUUCUUGCACAAACAAGUUUGUGUCGGCCACGCCCUGGGGAGGAUCCACGGGAUCACCGCCAUCAGCAGCCUGUUCCCAGCAGCCUCUCUGGCUUCCCUAAAGAGGGCAGGUGGGAUUUUCCACAACGCUGCUGUGCGCGGCGUGGAUGCCACAUGCAUGUUGCUGGGGGACGCCACUUCGGACACUGUUUUCUCUGGGACAUGCCUUCUGCCCAGGUCCCCACAGCAGCAUGGCCACACAUUUGAUGGCCUCAGGGCACCAAAGCGGAAACAGACGUCCUGA